rnacentral:piRNA from 1 species
UGAAAUCAUAUACAUACAAGCA